UCCUGUCAAAAAUUUAUUUGCAAAAAUGGUCCUGGCCCCGUCACGCAAGCGCCACGUCAGCGCCACGCGGGCGAGGCUGGGCAAGAUGGUUAAGUUGAACACGGUGAACCAUUCACCGUGUUCAAUAUAAAAUUUUUGUAUUGGAUACGGUGAAUCAAAAUAGCUAAGAUCGAAAAAUUUGUAUUGGACACGGUGAACCAUUCACCGUGUCCAAUAUAAACAAUUGGACACGGUGAAUGAUUCACUGUGUCUAAUACAAAUACCUCCAACUUAGCCAUUGUUGGGGUAUUUGUAUUGGACACGGUGUCCAAUACACGGUGUCCAAUACAAAAAUCUUGUAUUGAACACGGUGAAUGGUUCACCGUGUUCAACUUAAAUACCUGGGCCCGCCCUGCCCGCGUGGCGCUGACGUGGCAGGUGCAGGGCCAUUUUUGCAAAUAAUUUUUAGACGGGGCUAUUUUUGUAAAAAAAAUUUGUCAGGGGGCUAUUUGCAAAAAAAGCCCUUUUUAAUCUGUUUUCUAUACCACAGUAGCAAGAAGUUGCAAAUUUUUCACAUUUUAUAAAAUAAUAAUAUUUUCAAGCAUUUCAAUCACAAGAAUGAGUACAUAAAUUUAUUCAUGUCAAUUUCAACUACACUUUAAGUAUAUAAAGUGAACUAUACCAAUGUCAAUGCAUUUUAAUAUAAAUAAAUUUAAAUAAUACUAUAAAAAAUUUAUAUAUAAAAAAUCAGAAAUAUCAAAUAUGCAUGAAAAUUUAAAAAAUUCUAAGAAAAUCAAAUUCUCUCCCAACCCCUUCCAUGCCCUCGCCCUCGUCCCCUACCUUUAUACGCGGUGAAUUAUUUAACACUUUUGUGAUUUUUUACACCCCUUUCAAAGGCAAGAGUACUCUAUAAAUAUAGUGAAUGGUUCACCGUAUGCAUUUUUUUUAUACGGUGAACUUUACCCAAAAAUGCUGAUUUGGCAUACUUGAGGUCUAUUUUUACAAAAAAAAAAAAAUCAUGAGGACUCUUUUUAAAAUUAUAAAAAUAUGGAGGAUUAUUUAUAAAAAAAAAUUCAUUGUUAACAGCAAUGAAUUAAUUGAAACAACUAGAAAAAAGUAAUCAACCGUCCUUAUCGCAAGUAGCAAAAGGUUUGGUAGUUGGUAUCGAGGUCCCAAGUUCGAAUUUUAAUUGUCCCAGGUUCGAAUCCUAAUUGAUUCACAUUUUCAGCUAAAUUUAUUUCUAAAAAGUAGGGACCUAAUUGCAAGGAGGAAAAAUGUUGUG
rnacentral:lncRNA from 1 species